ensembl:lncRNA
CUCUCCCAGCCAGGCGGGGGGGAGCGCCAAGUGCAAGCAACCCUGCUUCGGCCAGAGGGAUGGUAUAUAGCCUAGCCUAGCCACGGCCGUGCUAACGGCCAUGAAGGUGAGUGGCUUUGUGGGCAGCCUGCCACUCAGGAGGCAUCCUGUCCCCAGAUGGUCCCUUGCGCCGGUCCCCCCUGGCCCCAUCUUUUGCCGAGAUUCAUGUUGCGCUUCCUCGGAACUGAAUGGGAACGCGCGUGGCGCUCCCGUUGCUCAAGACAGGGGAAGGAAGGCCCCAAGGCCAUACCAAGGUCAAGGACUGGAGUCUCCAUG